CCUAUCGUCUAGAGGCCUAGGACAUCGCCCUUUCACGGCGGUAACCGGGGUUCGAAUCCCCGUAGGGACGCCA
rnacentral:tRNA from 3 species